UACGUAGGUGGCGAGCGUUGUCCGGAUUUACUGGGCGUAAAGGGCGUGCAGGCGGUUUGUUAAGUGCAGGGUGAAAGCUCCCGGCUCAACUGGGAGAGGUCCUUGCAUACUGGCGAACUCGAGGGAGGCAGAGGAAAGUGGAAUUCCCGGUGUAGUGGUGAUAUGCGUAGAUAUCGGGAGGAACACCUGUGGCGAAGGCGGCAUCCUGGACCGGUAUUGACGCUGAGACGCGAAAGCUAGGGGAGCAAACAGG
rnacentral:rRNA from 1 species